CAAUAGCAUAUAUUAACGUUGUUGCAGUUGAAAAGCUCGUAGUUGAACUUUUGGUAGGAGCGACCUGGCCUUGGGCGCAUGCCCUUGUUUGCCGUGUGUCGUAUCUGGCCAUCCUUUUCUUCUUUUGGAAGGAAUCUUUUACUGUGAGUAAACUGGAGUGCUCAAAACAAGACGUUCGUUUGGUACAUUAAAGCAUGGAAUAAUAAGAUAGGACCUGGUUACUAUUUUGUUGGUUUGCAUAGCUAGGUAAUGAUUAACAGGGACAGUUGGGGGUAUUCGUAUUUAAUUGUCAGAGGUGAAAUUCUUGGAUUUAUGAAAGACGAACGACUGCGAAAGCAUUUACCAAGGAUGUUUNCAUUA
rnacentral:rRNA from 1 species